rnacentral:rRNA from 1 species
UACGAAGGGGGGCUAGCGUUGCUCGGAAUCACUGGGCGUAAAGCGCACGUAGGCGGAUUGUUAAGUCAGGGGUGAAAUCCUGGAGCUCAACUCCAGAACUGCCUUUGAUACUGGCGAUCUUGAGUCCGGGAGAGGUGAGUGGAACUCCGAGUGUAGAGGUGAAAUUCGUAGAUAUUCGGAAGAACACCAGUGGCGAAGGCGGCUCACUGGCCCGGUACUGACGCUGAUGUGCGAAAGCGUGGGGAGCAAACAGGG